rnacentral:piRNA from 5 species
UAAUCUGAGGGUCCAGGGUUCAAG